rnacentral:tRNA from 1 species
UACAUUUUAUAGGAGUUGAACCUAUGACUUUUAGCUUAGAAGGCUAUUGCUCUAUCCACUGAGCUAAAAAUGU